AUUUCUAGGCAGUCCUGAGUGAACUGGCUUGUUAGAAUAUAUUUGUGCCCCUGUCUCAACAGAACUUGCUGGACCACCAGUAUCGUUGUUGUGGCCACUCCCUGAUGCAUUCUGAAGCCUGAUGUAUGUGGAGGAUUUUUUUUUUAUGUAUUAAUCACUUAUAAUAUUCCUCCCUGUUCCUUCACUUUGUUCUUGUUUUUCCAGUUAGAUACACACAUUUACACACACAUACACAUCUUGUUGUCUCACUCAGUAUUUUUAUUAAACAAUAUUUGAUUCAUU